GUUCUUAUUUGGCCGGGGGUUUACCAUGAUCACGAAGGUGGUUUUCGUUAAAGCUAGGUUUUUCCGUUGUGUUUUGGAUGUGUAUAUUGAUCCUUGUGAUUUCCGCAAAUGUGGGAAACUCGACUGCGUACUUUGUGGUAGUGGGGGACUGCGUUGGCGCUUUCUUCUG
rnacentral:snRNA from 1 species